UUACAGCCACAGCAGUUUGAAACACCAGUUCCCAUACAAUUACCAAAGUUAAGCAACAUCAAGUCUGAUCAGUACAUAGAUGGCUGACCACUUGAGAAUACCAGGUGUUGUAAG